GUUUGUCAAUCUAAAAAGUGAAAAUAUAAUGUCUUUUAAUUUGAAUAUGAUCAAUUUAGUUAGCCUGCUAGGCUAAGUUAAACUUCUACAGAACUUUGUUUUUGCAUGGUUUCAUAUUAGAAUUUAUUAGAGCUAUAUUUAUAAGUUUGACUUAGGUCAACUUUUAUGAUUGUAUUUAGAGUUAAUUAUAGUUGUUAGGAAGUUAUGAGUUAUGUUACACAAUUUUACUCUUUGUAUUAACUCUAUUUAAGGGAUUGAUUGUUGUAACUGAUUCAGCAAGUAAUAAAGUUUACACAAAGUCUAACAAUAGUGAAUGUUAUUUCUAACAUGGUAUCAAUCGCCUCCGAUUCUCCCUCUUUUUCGCAUUUUGUUUCGUCUUUUUCUUUUCUUAUUCUUCAUUGAGCUUCAAAGAAGCUCCAUUCUUGCACCCGCACCACAUUUCGUUUCAUCUCCUUCUUUUCUUGUUCUUGGCUUUUCCAUGGCUGAAUCGAGGCAAGAAUCGCAAUCGCAACUCUCUUCGUUUCCAAAUUCGACAAAUCACAAUGUCUUUGGACCAAAACUUUCCAUCAAGCUCCAUGAGAACAAUGUUAUUCUAUGAAAUCAACAAGUUGAAGGAAUUAUCCUUUCGCACAAGCUUCACAAGUUCGUUGCAAAUCCCUAAAUUUCUCCAAUUUACAAAUCUGUUGAAGAUCGUCUUGCCAACACCAUAUCUGAGGAGUAUGAGGCGUGGAUUGUGCAAAGACGAAGCACUCUUCUCAUGGCUUCUGUCAACAAUUUUUGAGUCUGUGCUUCCUAGGGUUCUUUCUUGCAAGCACUCGUAUCAAAUUUGAGAUCAGAUUUACAAACAUUUCAAUGUAGUUAUGAAGGCUAGGGUUCAACAACUUCGAUCUGAAUUGAAAACCACAAAGAAGGAAAAUCAGUCAAUCUCUGAAUAUGUUUUGCGCAUUUGUGCCAUUGCUGAUGUGCUGCUUGCUAUUGGAGAUCCUAUCUAUGGUAGAGAUCAAAUUGAUGUGAUUCUACAAGGUCUUCCCGAAGAAUACAAUAUGUUUGUGAUGAUGACCUAUAACAAAGGUGAACUCUCCACAAUAUUUGACAUUGAAGCCCUUCUCCAUGUUCAAGAGGCUCAGCUGGACAAGUAUCAUCAGGAACUCUCUCUCACCACUGCCACAACAAACCUUGCUCAUACAGAUGAGAAUCUCAAUUCCAAGACUACCAGAGGUGGUUUCCAACAAGCAAGAGGCAGAGGUAACAUCUCCAUAGGAAGGGGUUGUGGCAGUGCUCGUGAAACCUACACUCCUGGGAAUCGACCUACAUGUCAAUUGUGUGGUAAGUAUGGGCACUAUAUGAUCGAUUGUUGGCAUCGUUAUGAUGAGUUGUUUGAACCUACACCAACAAGAACAAAUUCUCAGGCUACUCAAGCUAAAUAAGAACCGAAGAAUCAAGCUCCCAACUCAACACAAGCCUCAAAAUUCUUGGCUCAUCAAGAUGACUACAACAUACCAACAAAUUUAGAAUCACAUGUGUGGUUCGCUUACUCAGAUGUCUCUCACCACCUUACUUCUCGUAAUUAUCAAUUACAACACAUACAACCUUAUGUAGGCUCCAAUGAGGUUCUUGCAGGUAAUGGCCAAGGCUUAAAGAUUAAGUCAGUUGGGUUAGCUAAGAUUAAGUCCAAAACCAUGUACUUUCCUUUGUUAACAUUAAACAGUCUUAUCCAUAUACCUAGCAUAAUUUGUAACCUAAUUUAUGUAUCCAAGUUUGCCAAAGAUAACAAUGUCUUUUUUGUGUUUCUUUCUAAUAGAUGCUUUGUAAAAUCUCAGGCAUCUAAGGAGGUCUUUUUAGAAGGAUUCCUUGAUGCUAGUGGAUUGUAUUGCUUUCCCAAUCUAUCCAUGGAGUCCUCCCUGCAACCAACUGCCAACCCAGUUAGUAUGUCUUCUCAUAAUCAAGUCACAAAUACCUCAAAUUAUUUUUUAAAUAAAUUUUCUCUUUGGCACAAUAGGUUAGGCCAUGCAAAUGUUGUGGCUGUUAAAACUGUGCUCAACCCCUGUAAUAUUUCCUUAAGCAAUAAAGAUUGUGUUUAAUUUUGUACUUCUUGUUGUUUAGGCAAGUCUCAUAGACUUUAUGCAUCUCUAACAUCAACUAUUUACUCUAGUCCUUUUGAACUUGUUCAUAUAGAUUUGUGGGGACCCCCCACCCCCCAAACCCCUCUAGUCAAGGAUAUUCUUACUACAUAUCCUUUGUUGAUGUGUACACUUAGUAUACUUGGGUGUCAUUUUUGAAACAAAAAUCCGAGGCCUUAGAUAUUUUCAAGCAGUUCCUUACCUAUGUUCAAACAUAAUUUCAAACUAAUAUUAAGGCUGUACAAUCUGAUUUUGGUGGAGAUUUUAGGCCUUUUACUAAGUAUCUCAAUGAGUUAGGCAUAACCCAUAGACUAUGUAGUACCCCAAAAUUUGUCCUCCCAUUUUCUUCACAUCUCGAUCUAACCGUUUGAUUAGGGUUCAUCCGCAUGCAUUAUUAACUCAUGCAUAAGCAUCAUUCAUCACCAUGGAUUUCAAGUGUUUGACUUGCAGGGCUUUGGUUUUUUGGUACAACAACUGGAAAUGUUUGGUUUAGGCUUGCACUUGCCCCGAGGCCUCCAAAACCCUAAUCUCAGGUGAUCUCAGUAUCCGGUACUUGGUCCGUCCAUUUUGUCCCGUUUGGUGCUUGAGUAUUUUGGCCAUAAUGCAAGUCCUUGGUCUCAUAACUCCCAUCCACCUUCAUUCAUUCACCUAAUCAUGGUCAUACCACUAUAGGGUCACGUUCCCCGCUUCCAUGUGUCGAUUAUAAAUCUCGGGUUUGAAUUGAGGUCAUGUUCAUGCAUUGAGUCAAGUCAUUUUCAUUCAAUUGGUCAAUUCCAUUCAUUUUAUCCCUAAAAUAUCCAUUACAUACAUAAAAAGGUGCAAAAAAGGUGUAACAUUGCAAAAAAAACUCAUUUUUGGAGGUUUUUAGCCCUGUGAGUUGACUCAUGACUCGGCGCAAAACCCUCGGGUCCGAAAAAAAUUCUGGGCAGCUUAAGUGAGUCAACUCACUCACCCUUUGCGUCGACUCACGCUCCUUCUUUCUUUGAAACUGGUUCCCUCGGGUCGGAACAGGUCGACCUACCGGUCAACUCAAUGCUGGAAAUUCAUGAUUGAGUCGACUCACUCACCCUUUGCAUCGACUCAUUUCCAUUUCUCCUCUCAGUCUUUUCGCCGCGGGUCCGGACAGGUCGACACACCGGUUGACUCAACCCUGGGAAAAUCAAUGUUUGAGUCAACUCACUCCCUGCUUGAGUCGACUCAUGGCUUGUUCUGCAGGAUUUUGCACCACUGUUAUGAGAAGGGGACUUUUGGGAUGAAACAUGAUCCUCCAUCAUUGAGGCUUGCAAUCCAAGGCAAGUAGACCCAUGCAUGAACACCGGAAAAGUCGUGAGCAUCCGACGACACUUCAACACUUGGUACUUCAUCACCCUUCAACCAAAUGCAUCGUGAACAUAUCAAACCUGCAGCAAAACAAGUGCAGUAAAAUCCACAUACACUUUAACUUGCAUAAUAAUAGCGAAAGCCAAAAUCACAUAACACAACACAAUUAUUGUUAACCUACGGUCACAAGUCAUGAUUGAGUCUACAUUGCACCUAAACCAACACCAAAUCUAAUGUCAUUCAAACUGUCACCUACAAUAACCCGUCACAAAGAAUCACUUGAACACAUUUCCACUAAGUUAACUAAUUAACUAACUUCCAACUCAGUGAGUUAACUACCUAAACUCACUGAGUUCAUCUCAACUAACUCCAAACCUCUUUUAACUAACCCCGAGCCUAAUUCCAAACCUCAUUGAUCCCAAGCCUAACUUCUAUAAAUUCACCUCUUCACCAUUCACUACCCUCUAGCUACACUUUUGCAUUCAUCAUCUUCAAUUCUCUGCAACCUUUCUCUGAACCCACUCCCUCUCACUCAAAGCUCAAUUUUCUCGAAACUCCAUUGAAGCUUCACAUUGAAACAUCAAGAAGAGUGGGAUAAACCUCAUCUUACUACCAUUUUUGUGAAGAAGAAGAUUCAGAAAACAAGCAAGUUAGAGAAAGAUAAAAGCAAUACUUCAUCUUCUUGUACAAGUGAUUUUCCGUCAUCCUAAUCUUCUCCGAUCAACACUCACCGGAGCAAUUCUCAGCUUCAGAGGUAGGUCUUUCUUUCAUUGCAUCUCUAGUUGUUAUGCUGAACAUCCCAUCAUGCUAUUACAAACCCCUAUCGUAAGGAACUCUGAAUCUUGUUCAUGGAGGAGUAUUGUAGAUCUGAAUUUUUAGGGGUUCUUGAGGAUUCAGUCUCAUUAGUGGAUUUUGGACAGAAAUUGGAGAAUUUGGAGAGUGGAUCCUUGUUCUGGAGGUGGAGAUGAAGAUGGAGAUGUCUCUGCUUUUCAUUUCCGAUAGCCACCGCCGCCAGAAGCGAUUUCUAGCGCGGUGGUUCGCGAUGGCGCUUCGACGCUGCCGACUUGAAUUUUUUUGAAAAAAGGCGCGUACAUUCAAAUUCUUCUGGGUGUUUUUCCACACAGCUCCUAAUCUUUGGGCUUAUUUUCUGACUGGGCUUGUCACACUCAAAGCCUAAUACAAUGCAGUUUUCUCUUAUUCUAUUUUUCUGCUGCACCCCCAGACUGAAGAGAACCUUGUCCAUCAUUGCGCUUUGGCUACUGAAGCCCAUGUAUUUGGACUCUGGUUUGCUCUGUUUUUUUGCACAUCCAAAUUAGGCCUACACACCCCCUGUUUUGCAAAGGCUCACUAUUUUAUUUGUGUUUUGUUUGUUUUGUUAAUUGUUAGAAUUUAGGUUAAUUGGAUCAAUUAGGAGUUUAAUUAGAAUCUUCAUAAUUUGAAUUUUAGAUUCAAUAACCAUAAAAUUUGUCAAAAGACCAUUUUACUCUUUAGGGGUAAUUUUGGACAUUUUGCUCAUAAAAUCACAUGCUCCUUUAGGAAUAGAAUUUAACUUAGAAUCUUAACCAUAACAUGUUCCCUUAGUACUUUUAACAUGGACUUUUAGUCAAAAUUUUGACUAAUGACAUGUACCCUUAGGAUUAGCUUUUGAUUAAUUCUAACCAUUAGACUAAGUUUUAACCAAAAACUCCAAAUCAAAACAAACCCUCCGAUUUAAGUUGAUCAAAAGCAAUUUUGAUCCAUUAAAUCAUUUGAACUUGUAUAAUCACACAAUCUAAAUUGAGUGACCAAAAGAUCCUUGGUCACUUAAUGAGACUUUUCUUCUAAGUUGUGGAGCCCGAAGUCUCAAGUCAAGAUCUCCAAUAAAGGCAUCCUCAGUCACAUCAAGUAGCAGAUUAUACAAGAUAAAUCAAAGGUCAACACUUGUUAAACACGAUUCAAGUUGUACGAAACGAGCCUUAAGCAGUAAGUAAUGUUGAGAUGGAGUAUCUCCUAUCCUCAUCUAGAAUGACUUUGCGUAUGGGGCGUAUGCCCCAAAUAUUCAAAGUGUUCUCCCUUAUUCAUAGACUUUAGUACAACACGAACCGGUUAAACUACCAAGUCCUCUUCACACAAGAUAAACAUCAACGCAAGGAUCAACAAUGAAUAUUCUUCACCAGCAACUUGUCAACCAAGAGAAAUAUCAUGCACUUCAAGUCUUAAGUAAUAGGGAAUGACGAGACAGAGUCUCUCCUAUCCUCGUCUAGAUCGACUUUGCGUAUGAGGUGUAUGACCCAAAUAUUCAAAGCGUUCGCCCUUAUUCAUAGACUCAUGUGAUUCUUAUCAAUCGACUGUCAAGUCUCUUAUCACUUCAUUCUCUUAUUUCAUUCAUCACUCUAUUCAUUUCAAUUCAACCAUUCAAUCAUUUCUUUUGCCUUCAAUCAUCCUUGUUUUCAGCUCUAGUGGGUUGAACUAUGAAAGCUUUGAUUUCCUUAUUGCACUAUAAUAGUACGUAGGUAGGAGAAUUCAGAUUCUUCGCGAGCUAUCUUUUUGAUCAAUCUACCUGGUCUAUUACCACCCUAUGCAUCAAUCAAUCAUUCUUCAUUCAUUCAACCAAUACCAUCCUUUUAAGAUCAAUCAUAGUUCUCCUUGGACUCCUUGUCUAUCCUUUUAGGACGUCUUAACGACAGUCCAUCUCCUCAAUCGAUAGUUGUUUGGGCUACAACCCCAAACACUUAAUCCAACCUUUCUUUUUGGCUUUACCUUAUAAUGGCGGCAUGCUAGUCCAUGUAUUGGUAAAUGCCCACCUUGCUCUUAGAUUAAGAGUCUAUCUCCUUCUUGGAUCCAAGAUACUAUCCUUCGUUGAUCUCGAACUGUUUGUUUCCCCAGCGAGCGAUACCAUUCCUUGUACUAUAGUACUACAAUCAUUCCUUGAAUGGGUGUUUCUCUUGUGAGCCCAUGUUCCUUAGAAAAAUGUCCCUCUUUCUAUUCUCGUGUGUAACACCUCAAAAUUUGCCCUCCUCCUCUUGGGACUAGCUUAGCAUAUUGCAUUUCAUUUUGUAGGACAUUAGGCAUUGCAUAUUGCAUAUCAUUUGAAAUAAGACAAGUCAUCCUCCUAAGUCUUUCUCAGAAGAUAGAGAGGUUAAGAGACUCAUGCCUGAGGGUCUCAUGGAUUGAUCACUAGCCAUCUGAGGGUUUGUGCUUCAAUUAGGGUUUCUUGGUCCUUCAAGGAGGUUGAGUAUUAUCUUGUGAAAAGAUAUCGUCAUAUUGAAGAUAUGUUCAAAAUUAUCAUCAUGGUCUUAUCUCCUCAGGGGUCAUUUGUUUAUGCUUCAUAUCUUUGGGAUUAGGUUUUGACCUCCCACCUCUAGUCAAACCUUAAUGCAGUUGCAUUCUUACCAUCAGGAUGUUUCAAGGAGAGAGUCUGUUUCUUGAGAUGGAGUCUCAUAUUGAUUUUAUUGAGCUUGUAUAAGCUAGGGUUUCAUUUUGGAGCCAUUUCAUCAAGUGGUUGAGGCUCAAAGUCAUCUGAGCAUGUUCAAGUCAUCUGUCAACCAGAAAGUCAACAGAAAGUCAACUGAGGACUAGGAGGUGGAGAAAUGAGUUUCAACAUCUCAUUCAUGUUCAAAAGGGGCUUAUUAUUCAUGUCAAAUGCAUAUCUUGAAGAAUUUGAGGUCAGAUCAAGAGUUUCCAAAAAUGGAAAGUGACCUAUAUUUGAAAGUUUCCAAAAAUGGAAAGUUUUUGGUCCAAAUGCAACUUGAUCUUGCAUCAUCAAAGAAGCUUCAAAUGAAAUUUUGUCCAACAUGAGAGUUGAAGAUCUCUAUCUCCCAUUUCCAAAACAUCUAAGAUCAUGAGCAUCUGAUGAAUGGUUGAGGAGAUAUGGUCAAAUCAUUGCCAAGUGUAUAUGGAACUUCAAAGUGCCAUAACUUUUGACUCAUAAUUCCAAAUUGAGUGCUCCUUUUUGCCAAAUUCUUGUCAUGACAUAUAUUUUCCAAAUCAUUCAUGGAAUUGCAUGAAAUUUCAUCGUGUGAUCAUGUGCUAAUUCAAGUGCAUUUUGGAGGGAAAUUGAGAAAUUCAAAUUUGGUGCAUCACAUGAGUAAAAUUCCACUUGCAUUAUGUUUAUGGAGUGUUUAAGUGAAUGUGAGCAUUUGCAUGUACUAAUUCACUGCCGUGGACAUGGACCAUAUACAUCAUUUUUGAUUUUUUGCCGAUUUUCAUUCCAUUAACUAUACCUAAAUUAAACCCAUGUCUACAAUUGGAUUAGGAUGGUAAUUAACAUGGCUAUAAAUAGUAAUGUAUAACAGAUUUUGGGGUUACACCUUUCAAGAUCUAAAUUUUCUUCCUCCAAAUAUUCUCUUCAUCCAAAUUCAAAUUUCUUCCAAACAUAAGCUUUGAUUCUUCCAUAGUCUUGUCUCUGCGUACUGAUUAGUGUAGUCAAGCAUUGGAUCGGUCAAAUUUGGACAAUUGUGUGGUGCCAAGUUCGAACACAAGUAUGGAAGUUCAGAUUGUGAGUAAAUCUAAGCUAUACAGCUCCAAUUAUCAUAAAGUUCAAGAUCAUCUCAAGGAGUAAUCUGCGCAGGCUUGCCAAGGCUUGAUCCAUAGAUUUCACACUGCUCUUCAAGAGUAGGUUUUCGACUCUUAAUGUUGAUUUUUAUGUGACAUUGAUCUUGUCUUCUUGCCUCUUGCUGAUCAUCGUUGAUAUAAAUUUCGUGGAAUUUGUUGAGAAAUGGCUGAGAUAUGUUGAAUUAAAGUUUGAUGUUCAUAAAUGUUUUUGAUCGAUUCUCAUGAUUGGUGAUGAAUUAGGUUUAGUUAUUGAUUGAUCUGUAAUGUACGUAGCAUGAGCUUUCUAAUGAUGUAAAAUUUGCAUGUUUCUGGAAUUUUUUUUGAAGCACGUACACUGUAGCUCCGCCGUCUUCGCGAAGAAGACGGUGGAAACCACCGCGUACCAUACGCGUACGAGCACCUUACGCGUACCAUACGCGUACCGCAUGCUAGGGUUUGUCUGGUUCAGCGCGCGUACACGCUUCGAUUCUGGCUGAGGACACUUUUUCAAAUUAAUUUCCAUUUCUUCAUUUCCCUCCAAUUUCUUCAUAUAUUUUGUCAUAUUUUCUUCCAACUUUGAAAAAUCAUAACUAUUUGAAAAAUGAUUCAAAUGAAUCCAUUCUUCUUGCUAAUUGUUCACAUGAAUGUCCUCUAUUUUUUGGUUUUGAUUUUAUGAUUUUACACUUUCUGGUUUUUGAAUGGUGACUGUUUGAUUGAACAUGUAUGCUUUUGUGACCUUGCCUUACUCUUUCUAUCAUGAAAUGCUCAGAAAUAAUCNGGGUUAAGAGCAAACAACACCCCUUUCCAGUUGGCUUGUUUGUCGAGGUUGAUUUGACCCCUUGACUAAAGCCCAGCCAUGUUGUGUGAGCCUUCUUGUUUGCAUAUAGUGUGUGAUACCUGUUCACUCGUUUGCUUACUUGCUGUGUUGUUGACUUGCUGCCUAUGCGAGUUAGGAUUUGUUAGAAACCUCAACCUAGGACUAUUGUGGAUUGCAUGACAACUUUUAGGCUCGAGUCAGUCUCCCCAUUAGUUUGUUAUUUCCCGGUCUCUGGUUUAGGAGAAAGUUUCUCCCCUGUUAAGGGGAACUACGUUGCCCUGAUCCUCAUACCAGAUGAGGUACGUAGGCAAGAGAUCGUGCGAGAUCUCUCCGGGCACCCUUUUUGUUUUUCAACCUUUUCUUUUUGUGUGUGUUUGCUUGACAGUUAUUAGGCUCGAGUUCCAGACUCCCUGUUAGCUUGUCUGUUUAUUAAUCUCUUGUGUGUGAGUGUGGAGUCCGAUGUAAGUCCAGUGAUUGGCAUUCGGUUUCCCGUUUGUUUGUUGUGUGCUUGGAGUCUGAUGUAAGUCCAGCGAUUGGCAUUCGGUUUCCUUGUUUGGGUUGUGUGCUUGGAGUCUGAUGUAAGUCCAGUGAUUGGCAUUCGGUUUCCUUGUUUGUGUUUGUGUGUUCGGAGUUGGAUGUAAGACCAGCCAUUGGCAGUCUGUUUCCGUUUGUGUGUUUACUUUGACGUCUCAGCGUCUUUGUGUUGUGUUUUGUUUCGGCGUGCGUUAGCCGAACUACGGUAGCUCUGAUUCUCAUUCUAGAUGAGAUACGUAGGCAUAGGAUGCAAUAUCCUAGCGAGCCUGUUCCCCAUUUCCCCGAACUACGUUGACUCUGAUGUUUGUUUCUGACAAACUACGUAGGCCCAUGAUGCGACAUCCUGCCGAGUCUGCUUCCUCCGUCUUCUUCCAUCUGUGUUUGAUUCCAGUGUGUGUACAUUCUUUGAGCAGUUAUUUAGCAACCUUAUUCUAUUCUGUUGAGCGUGGAUCCCGUCGAGUACGACGGACAUGAGGAGUGCUAAUACCUUCCCCUUGCGUAACCGACUCCCGUACCUUGUAAUCUCCGGUCGUAAGACCAUUUCCUUUCCAGGUUUACUUCGAGCGUUUCCUUUCCCUCCUUUGGGAUAAAUAACGCACGGUGGCGGCUCUGUUUGUUUUUUUUCCGCCGGUUGUUUUUCGCGAAUGCGACAGCUGGCGACUCUGCUGGGGAAACCAGGAAAGUUGACCUCUUGCUGGUCCAUCUUCCCUAAGCGAGUCACUCCUAGCGCUCUCUAGGAUAGUUUAGGUUGCUUGUGUUGUUGUAUUUAUUGCAUUUAUGAUUAUACUGUGUAUAUAUUUGCAUAAAUGUUUGCAUGCAUCAUAUUAUCAUUGUGCUGGAUUCUGUACAGGUUGGUUCCUCUGAUUUGGGGUGGGUGUUCUGAGUGGGGCUAAAACCCAGGCCCGAGUAUACACCUAGGAUUAGCGUGGUCUCACGUCGCCUUUCAUGUUAGGUCAACAUGUUUUUGGCGACGUGACAUACCACAAGCCGGACGAGGUUCUUUUGAGAGAGCUCUUCCUUUGUGGAGCAUCCACUUUGGUUGAGUUACUUCAUCUGAGCUAUUGACUUCGGUGACCGUUUAUUCCCGGAUCUUUGGUUUAGACGAUCUUAAGAGAGCUGCAGCGGCACACCCGAAAGGGCAAACCCGUUGAGUAUCUUUGCCCGAUUGUCGAGACUAUUAUCCGCCUUAGGAUGACCUGAUUAGAAUUCACCUGUGAGGGGAGGGUUGAUUCUUACAGAUGCAUGUUCUGCUGGUGACUUUGAUGGUGACUAAUGGUUCAGUUAUUGAUCAGAGUCUUAUUUAUAAGUCGGAUUUAUAGAUUUAUUUCUGAGACGCCGGAGUUCUGUCUGUGGUAUUUAUCAGUGGGGAUCCGUUUAUUUCAGGAUUCCCUGGGUUGGUGCAGAUGAUUUUGUGGUUAUCAGUUUAGUGAUUUCCCAGUGAUGAUGGUGAUAUAUCCUUCAGUUCCGUUUAUUUCGAAACUCCUGGGUGGGAUUUGUGGUUACUCAGUACCUCAGAUGGUUGUGAUCAGUUCAGAGACCGUAACCCAGUGCAGUGGAUGUUCAGAUGACUUGGAGGAUGGCACAGUGCAUUGCAUUCAUACAUCAGCAUCAUUCUCAUUUUGCAUUUAUCUGCAUCUAACUCAUGUUUAUCCAUAUGCAGGGGAUAUUCUUGAUUGAGAUCCUGGUUGAGAGACUUCUUUGUUCCAGACAUGAGGACCGGCUUGAAAGACGAUGUUGUCUACAGUUUCUUCGACCUAGAGAUCGAUGUACUGAGAGAUAUGAUAUCAUUGAUUACACCUGACCAUGUGGGGUUGUUCCGUGAGACAUACGGGGGUAUUCUGAAGUUGGUUUUCAGGCUUACUGAUACAGAUAGGAGUGCCAUCCAUACUCUUCUCCAGUUUUAUGACCCAGGCUUGAGGUGCUUUAUAUUCCCGGAUUACCUAUUGGGGCCUUUGAUGGAGGACUAUGCCAGCAUCCUGGGGAUUCAGAUCAGAGAUCAGAUUCCAUUCUAUGUCACUAAGGGAGAACCUGAUGUUACUAAGAUUUCUGGUGCUCUUUAUCUGAGCCCAGAGGUGACCAAGGGGGGUUUGAAGGAGAAGGGAAAGUUGCCCGGUUUUCACCUGAGUUUCUUGGAGUCUAAAGCCAAGGAGCAUGCUGUUGUGGGUAAUUGGAGGGCCCUUUGUGCUUUGAUUGCUGUGAGCAUCUAUGGAAUCAUCCUGUUUCCUAAUCAGAAGAACUUUGUGGAUAUUAAUGCCAUCAGGUUGUUUGCUCAGAGGAAUCCUAUUCCUACCUUGGUUGGAGACGUUUAUUACUCGAUCCAUAAUCGGAACGAGAAGCGGCGUGGGGGAUUGAUCAGAUGUUGUGCUCAGUUGUUAUACAAAUGGUUUAUGGGGUAUUUGCCUUCCAGAGGUGCCUUUGUCUUUCUUGAUCCUACUGUCAAAUGGUCAAUCAGGUUGAUGGGUUUGCGAGCCAAUGACAUAGCUUGGACUCACAAUGGUGUGGCUGGACGAGACUUCAUUUACAGUUGUGGAAGUCUUCCCAAUGUGCCUCUUAUAGGAGUUCAAGGUUGCAUUAAUUACAACCCGGUGCUUCUUAGGAGACAAAUGGGAUUUGCUGUGGAGGGUCCUCCCCUACCUGCUCUCUAAGUCCUCAGAAAGAACUUCCCGAUUGAGGGUAAUCAGCCAAAGUUGAGGCAAGUGUCUGAUGAGUGGCGUGACAUUCAGAGGAAGGGCAAGGUUCCUUUUGGUAAGGUUAAUAGCAGGUCUUUUCCUCCGUUUGAUGAUUGGCUUAGGAAGAGGAUUGAGCUCACACAUUUACCAUUUUCUGGGGGUGAUCCUUGGUGUCCAUUGAUUGAGGGGCCCCGUUCUUCUGUCAGCAUGGAAGGGUUCCUUGAGAUGAAGAAAGCCAGAGAUCAGCUGCAAGCAGAGAAGACUGAAUUGGAAAUGAGUGUUGCUAGGAUUCAGAUGGCUAAUCAGGAAAUUAAAGGGAGAAUAGAAGAUCAGGAUAAGAGACAUGCCAUUGAGGUGAAGCGCUUUGAGAUAGACACCGCUUAUUAUUGCAAAAUCAGCCAAGCUUUGGAGUCAUCUACAAAGGAGCAUGACAUCACUAAGGAGAAGCUAGCUAGAGCUUUGAGGGGUAUUGAAGAUGAGAAGAGAAGGCAGAUCCUUGUGAAAAAUCAGAGAGAUGUCAGAGCCAAAGUCCUUGCCACAGAAUAGGAAGCUGAGAAAGUGAAGAUUAUUGCUGAGAGAGAUCACUAUCUUGCUGAGAGGGAUCAUUACUUCACACAGAUGAAGAUUCACCAAAAGGAGAUAGGAAGGCUGCAGCAGGAGAACAUUGAGCUCAGGUUCGCCGUGAAGUUUACUAAGAUGGUUGAUGAUGCAGAGCCUUCUGUAGGACCUUCUUUGGUGUAGACUUUUGUUAUCAUGUGUUGGAUUACCGUCAGGCCUGUUGACGGAAUUCACUUGUUUGUAUUUUCUUUCUGAUUCUGGAGAAUUGUAUUUGAUUUGUAUCAGCCUGAUGUAUGACUCUUGCACUUGUAGUGCACUGAUGAUAUAUAGUGUUUAUUUUCAUUCAGUGAUUGAUCUUCAAGCUUUAUUUGCUUCUUUGUGUUCACUCACACAACACACACAUGGUCGGGUGAUAUCUUUGCUAAAUCAUAUAUCUCUGCUCUGAAUGGCAAAAUCAAAUGAUGAAUGUCAGAAUAUUGUUGCCGGAUUAUUAUCUGUCUUGAUGAAACCAGGAUCGAAAGACAGAGUGUUCCUCAUAUGGAUAGACAUUGCAUUCAUGCAUGAAUCAUAAUAACUUGUCUUCUAUUUUGCAGGUGUCAGUUGCUAACGUGCUUGAUUGUUUCAGGAAUCAUUGCUCGCGCACGUAGAAUCAUUCCUUUGCACGCAGCACGUCCGCACAGAUAUCCUACUAGACGCAACACAUCCAGGCUGAUGGAUCUACCCAACGCGGAUUUUCUCGAACUGAAGGAGAAAAUGAACGAACUGAUCAAUGUCAUGCAAGGGUUUGCCGUGGGGCAAAAAGCACUUGCUGAUAAAGUGGAGAAGCUCGAGCGGGCUUCAGCUGCCAACAAUGGUAUCAAUUUAGAGGGUGUCUCCAAUCAUGGCCUCGGUGGUUCCAGGGAUGGAGGAGAUCUUGGAAAGAAGACAAUUGCUGGUGUGGUGACAAAUAAUGGAGGUGGUUUCGGCGUUGCCACAGGCGGUGGACCAGGUCCGAUGGGUAAUAAUCUGAAGGAAAGUCUGUUUCCUCCUUUCUUCGGGGCCGAGGAAGAUAGAGAAGAAGACCAGUUCUCCGUGCUUAAUGAACAGUUUGGGCAAUACGGUGUCCAAUCACCAAACAAGGAGAUUCAGGUGUUGGCUGAGAAAAUCAGGGCUCUUGAAAGCUAUGCUACUCGGGGGGUUGUUAAUAUGUCGAACAUGGGGCUGGUUGAGGGGAUUGUGAUCCCACAGAAGUUUAAAGCGCCUGUGUUUGACAAGUAUAAUGGGAGUUCUUGCCCGGAAACUCACCUCCAAGCUUUUGUCCGUAAGAUUUCUGCUUAUACCAUGGACCAGAAGCUUUGGAUGUAUUUUUUCCAGGACAGUCUGUCUGGGGGGUCUUUGGAAUGGUACACCAAGCUGAGGUCAUCUGAUGUCAAGAGCUGGCAGGAUCUUGGCGAUGCAUUCUUUAAACAGUAUCAAUUUAAUAUUGAUAUGGCUCCUAGCCGUACCCAAUUGCAGGGUAUGUCUCAGAAGCCUAAUGAGGGGUUUAAAGAAUAUGCACAGAGAUGGAGGGAGUUGGCUGCCCGAGUCCAACCUCCGUUGGUAGACCGGGAAAUGUCAGAUCUAUUUAUGGGUACCCUUCAGGGGACGUUUGCAGAGAGAAUGGUUGGAUGCCCGGUUACCAAUUUUGCUGAUAUUGUGGUGGCCGGAGAAAGAAUCGAAAGUUGGUUAAAGAUGGGGAAAAUCCAGGGUAGUGCUUCGUCGUCUGGAUCGAAGAAGCCCUUUGGGAAUGGUCAGAGAAAGAAGGAGGGUGACACCAGCGCUGUGUAUGCUCAGAGGGGACAGAGUAGGGAUCGUUACUACCAGCACACUGCUGCAGUAACCAUUCCUGCUGAUAAUCAACAUCAACAACAACAACAACUGCAACAGCAACGACAGCCAUUCCAACAGAGACCGCAGAGGGUCGGGUAUCAAGUGAGAGGGCGAAUGGUUAAUCGUCAAUUUGAUAGGCCACCUGUGACCUACUCAUUCUUGUUGAAGAAGUUGAAGGAUUUGGGGUUGGUCCAGCUGAGGACCUUGGCUCCGGUGAGACCCGAUCAAAGGCCUGCCAGCUAUGAUGAGAACGCCAAGUGCGAAUUCCACUCUGGUGCUCCUGGACACAAUGUGGAAAAUUGUAAAGUUUUUAAGCAUGUUGUCCAGGACUUGGUGGAUUCUAAAGCCAUCAAUUUUGCACCAUCUCCGAAUGUUAAUGCUAAUCCCAUGCCCGCGCAUGGUCAAAUGGGGGUGAAUGCAAUUUCUCAGGAUGAGGGUUAAAUUUGGGUGACAGAUGUGAGCCAGUUGAAGACUCCUUUGACUGAGGUCAAGAGGCAAUUGUUGAAGAAUGGGGUCUUCCCGGGCUGUGAUGACUGUUGUGCUGCGUGCACCGUUGUUCCCGAUGGGUGUGUAUUGUUGAGGGAGGUUGUCCAGAGGCUGAUGGAUGAGGGAAGCCUCAGGUUCGAAAAGAUGGAUUUGGGGAAGGAAGAUGUCUCCACCAUAACCAUUUACUUCGACCCGGUUGAUUUGUCAACGCUGGCAGAUGCGGCUCCAGUUACCAUCACGGUACCUGGGCCAAUUCCUUAUGACAAAGAUGAUGUCGUGCCAUGGCAUUAUGGUGGAGAAGUAUACUGUAAUGGGGAAAAGUUGGAUGAUCAGGCUGCAAGUAAAACCACCAUUUCAAAGGUGGAUAAUGCCGGACCCAGUGGUUUCACUCGCAGUGGAAGGUUGUUUGCACCUGACGCUUUGAGGAGUGGGGAUGGAGAGAGAGAAAAGAAAGAUAAGGUCGAGGCUUUAGCCAGGGCACGAGGGAAGCAGGUGGUAAAUGAGGGUACUCCUGUGGUGACACCGGCGCCUAGUGGGUCGGAGAAAGAACUUGAUGAUGAAGCUGAAGAAUUUUUAAGGAUCGUCAAGAAGUUAGAGUACAAGCUUGUUGACCAUUUGCAGCAGACGCCAUCCAAGAUUUCAAUCCUGUCAUUGUUGCUGAGCUCCGAGGGGCAUAGGGAGGCUUUAUUGAAAAUUCUGAAGAGAGCCUAUGUUCCCCAGGAGAUAACAAUCAAUCAGUUAGAGACAGUGGUGUCAAAUGUCAAUGUCAGCCAUGGGCUGGGUUUCACUGAUCUUGAUCUAACUGUGGAUGGGCGGAAUCACAAUCGGGCUUUACACAUUGCUAUGGAGUGUAAAGGAGCGGUGCUCUUGCACGUGUUGGUUGAUACCGGCUCCUCUUUAAAUGUGUUGCCAAAGAAAGCCCUGGCAAAGUUGGACUGUGAAGGGUUGAUCUUGACGCCCACGGACCUGGUGGUGAGAGCUUUUGAAGGUUCGAAGCGGGCUGUGUUUGGGGAAGUGGAGCUUCCUGUAAAGAUCGGGCCUGAGGUGUUUAAGUCCGUUUUUUACGUCAUGGAUAUUCAGCCGGCAUACAGUUGCCUGUUGGGUCGCCCAUGGAUUCAUGCUGCUGGAGCAGUGACUUCGACUUUGCACCAGAAGCUGAAGUAUACCUGGGACGGGCAGGUCGUCACAGUCUGCGGAGAGGAGGACAUCUUUGUCAGCCACCUAUCAUCGUUCAAAUACGUAGAAAUGGACGGUGAAAUUGUUGAGACGCCAAGUCAAGCAUUCGAAACCGUCAAGGUGGAGAAUGCUCUUUUUUCUAAAGAGGAAAAGCAAUCCAUUUCUUCGUAUAAACAGGCUGCUGAGGUGGUGAAGAAUGGAGAAGCUCCUGGUUGGGGGAAGAUGAUGGACAUCGCCGCCAAAAAAGAUAGAUUUGGAGUGGGUUAUCAGCCGGGCCGAGGCUCGUCUGGACAGAGCAGAGGACGUCGUCCGCCGUUCACGUUCACCAGUGCUGGAAUGUUGGAUCCAUAUCACAUCUGUAUGGUGGGUGAAGAGGUCGACAGUGACUGCGAGAUAGAUCAAUGGAUAAAAUCGUGCGUACCAGGGAUGGAAGUCCAAAACUGGAAGGCCGAAAAGAUCAUCACUGUCACUCUACGUGAAGAGUAAUAUUUUCUGUUUUUCAAUUUUAUUUGCAUGAAAGCCAUACGUUUUGCCCGAAACGUAAUGGUUCAUUGUAAGGGUCACCUCAUGUUUCAUUUUGCAAAUUUUGCAUCAUAAAUAAAAGGAUGUUUUUCAUUAAAAGCGGUGUUCCCUGUUUUUCAUUUAUUUUUGCAGUUUAAUAAAAACAAAAAUAAAAAUGGAAAUGUAUGUUUUCAUUUUUCUUUUAAAUUGUUUCGCUCCGGUUCUAAAACAGUGCAUGAAUCAACAUUCAUGCAGAUGCGAUCUUUCUCCGGAUCUCAUUGAUAACAAUCCUGUUACACCCUCGUAUGACUUUGACAAUCCGAUCUAUCAUGCCGAAGAAGAAGGCGAAGAAGAUUGUGAACUGCCGGAAGAAUUAGCCAGGUUGUUGAAACAAGAGGAGAAGGUGAUUCAACCGCACGAGGAGCAAGUUGAGGUUGUGAAUCUGGGUACCGACGAGGUCAGAAAGGAAGUGAAAGUUGGGGCUGCUUUGGAGGCAAAUGUUAAGAGCAGAAUGGUAGCUUUGUUGAAAGAGUAUGUUGAUAUCUUCGCCUGGUCUUAUCAAGAUAUGCCAGGGUUGGAUACCGAUAUCGUUGUGCACAAGCUAUCGUUGAGAGCAGAUUGUCCUCCAGUGAAGCAGAAAUUGCGCAGAACUCGACCCGAAAUGGCCAUGAAAAUUAAAGAGGAGGUUCAGAAGCAGUUGGAUGUUGGUUUCCUCGCUGUCACUAAUUAUCCGCCUUGGGUCACAAACAUUGUGCCAGUCCCGAAGAAGGAUGGGAAGGUGAGAAUGUGUGUGGACUACCGGGAUUUGAACAGAGCUAGCCCGAAAGAUGAUUUUCCAUUACCUCACAUUGAUGUGUUGGUAGAUAAUACAGCUCAAUUCUCGGUGUUUUCCUUCAACCUACCGAAAAGACCGAUAUUAGUUUAGUUUUUGUCGCCAGAUGAUAUGGAGAAAACAACGUUCAUCACACCGUGGGGCACUUUUUGUUAUAAGGUGAUGCCAUUCGGUCUCAAGAAUGUCGGUGCUACUUAUCAUAGAGCUAUGGUGACUUUGUUUCAUGAUAUGAUUCAUCAUGAAAUCGAAUGCUAUGUUGAUGACAUGAUAGCAAAGUCCCAAACAGAAUAGGGGCAUUUGGUGGAUUUGGCCAAGUUGUUUGACCGGUUGAGACAGUUUAGACUGAGGUUGAAUCCGAAUAAGUGCACUUUCGGGGUGCGAUCCGGUAAGUUGCUGGGGUUUAUUGUAAGCGAAAGAGGAAUCGAGGUUGAUCCUACUAAAGUAAAAGCAAUACAAGAAAUGCCUGAACCGAGGACAUAGAAAGAGGUUCGUGGUUUCUUAGGUAGAUUGAACUACAUUUCACGGUUCAUAUCUCACUUAACAGCCACGUGCGAACCUAUAUUCAAGUUGUUGAGAAAAGAUCAAACGGUCAGGUGGAAUAAUGAUUGCCAAACGGCAUUUGAAAAGAUAAAAGAAUAUUUGCAGGAGCCUCCAAUUCUGAUGCCUCCUGUGGAGGGACGACCGUUAAUUCUGUACUUGACAGUGGAGCUCCCCAGAUACCCCACACAUGACCCCGUCGUACUGCAGUCUGGUCGAAAAGAGCAUGCCAUAUACUACCUUAGCAAAAAGUUUACCGACUGUGAAACAAGAUAUUCACUGCUCAAGAAAACUUGUUGUGCUUUGGUAUGGGCUGCUCGCCGACUGAGACAGUAUAUGCUGGUUCAUACCACUUUGUUGAUUUCCAAGAUGGAUCCGAUCAAGUAUAUUUUUGAGAAGCUAGCAUUGACCGGACGGGUUGCGAGAUGGCAGAUGAUUUUGACCGAAUAUGAUAUUCAGUAUACCUCGCAGAAAGCAAUCAAGGGGAGUGUAUUGUCUGAUUACCUCGCUCAGCAGCCCAUUGAGGAUUAUCAACCGAUGAAGUUUGAGUUCCCUGAUGAGGACAUCAUGUUUCUCAAAUCGAAAGAUUGUGAGGAACCAAUCCCGGAGGAAGGGCCUGACCCUGAAUCCGAAUGGAUUCUGAUGUUUGAUGGGGCCGUUAACGUGAAUGGUAGCGAAAGAUUGUGAGGAACCAAUCCCGGAGGAAGGGCCUGACCCUGAAUCCGAAUGGAUUCUGAUGUUUGAUGGGGCCGUUAACGUGAAUGGUAGCGGUGUUGGUGCUGUUUUGGUUACGCCGAAAGGAUCCCAUGUUCCUUUUGCUGCCUGGCUAACAUUUGAGUGCACCAACAACGUGGCUGAAUACGAAGCUUGUAUCUUGGGGAUUGAAGAGGUGAUUGAUUUACGAAUCAAGAACCUUGUUAUAUAUGGAGAUUCAGCUUUGGUUGUGAAUCAGGUUAACGGAAAAUGGUACACGCAUCAAUCUCAUUUAAUUCCAUACCGGGAUUAUACGAGGAGAUUGUUGACGUUCUUCACCAAGGUGAAAUUGCAUCAUGUGCCGAGAGAAGAGAGCCCUUUGGCAGAUGCUUUGGCUACUCUGGCUGCCUUGAUUAAGGUGCAGUGGUGGAAUCAGUUCCCAAGUGUUGAGGUGGGAUGUCUGGAUAGACCGGCUUAUGUGUUUGCUGUUGACACAGCACCUGAUGAUGAGAAGCCGUGGUAUUACGAUAUCAAGCGGUAUUUGGAAACCCAAGAAUUUCCUGAGGGAGCAUCCAAGAAGGACCGAAAGACUCUGAGGAGGUUGGUCAUGGUGUUCUAUCUGAAUAAGGAUGAGGUUUUAUACAAGCGGAAUUUCGAUUGGGUCUUGCUCAGAUGUGUUGAUGAUAAAGAAGCGAGCCAAUUGAUGAAAGAGGUUCACGAGGGGUCGUUCGGUACCCAUGCCAGUGGGAAUGCAAUGGUGAAGAAGCUGCUGAGGGCAGGUUAUUAUUGGAUGACAAUGGAGGCCCAAUGUUUCAAUUUCGUAGUACCCAUGCCAGUGGGAAUGCAAUGGUGAAGAAGCUGCUGAGGGCAGGUUAUUAUUGGAUGACAAUGGAGGCCCAAUGUUUCAAUUUCGUGCGGAAAUGUCAUAAAUGCCAGAUUUAUGCUGAUAAGGUGCACGUGCCUCCAAACCCGUUGAGUUUAAUGUCGUCUCCAUGGCCGUUUACUAUGUGGGGCAUUGAUAUGAUCGGAAAGAUUGAGCCUACGACUUCGAAUGGGCACUGAUUCAUAUUAGUGGCUAUUGACUACUUCACCAAGUGGGUGGAAGCAGCCUCUUAUGCAAACGUGACGAAGCAGGUUGUCGCCAGAUUCCUGAAGAGAGACAUCAUUUGCAGAUAUGGGGUUCCCGAAAGAAUCAUUACUGAUAAUGGUUCUAAUUUGAACAAUAAGAUGAUGGCGAAGCUGUGCCAGGAAUUCAGGAUUGAGCAUCACAAUUCUUCUCCUUAUCGUCCGAAGAUGAAUGGGGCGGUUGAGGCAACCAAUAAGAAUAUUAAGAAGAUUGUGCAGAAGAUGGUUGUGACUUAUAAAGAUUGGCACGAGAUGUUGCCGUUUGCAUUGCAUGGGUAUCGAACCUCGGUGCGUACGUCUACUGGGGCAACGCCUUUCUCGUUGGUAUAUGGAAUGGAAGUCGUGCUACCGGUUGAGGUUCAGUUGCCGUUUGCAUUGCAUGGGUAUCGAACCUCGGUGCGUACGUCUACUGGGGCAACGCCUUUCUCGUUGGUAUAUGGAAUGGAAGUCGUGCUACCGGUUGAGGUUCAGAUUCCGUCGUUGAGAGUCUUGAUGGAUGUGAAAUUGCAAGAGGCUGAAUGGGUAAGGACUCAGUAUGAGGAGUUAAGCCUGAUUGAGGAAAAGAGGCUGGCGGCCAUCUGUCAUGGGCAGUUGUACCAGCAGCGGAUGAAACGUGCUUUCGACCGAAAGGUACGACCUCGUGUGUAUCACGUAGGUGAUAUGGUGUUGAAAAGGAUCCUUCCUCCUCAAAACGAUCGUAUGGGCAAGUGGACACAUAAUUAUGAAGGUCCGUUUGUGGUCAAGAAGGUUUUCUCUUGCGGAGCCUUGUUGUUGACGACCAUGGAUGGCGAGGAUUUUCCAUCCCCUGUGAAUGCGGACGCAGUUAAAAAAUACUUCGUAUAAGAGACCCGCUGGACGAAAAGAAUAAAAUAGCCCAGGCAAAAAUGGGCAUCUCCCGACAAAAAAAAUUGGAAAAGGUUCGGGCAAAAUUGAGGGAUAAUAAAGAAAAAAACUGUACACCCCGACAAGUCGAAAACCUCCAAAGGGCGACUUGGCAAAAAGGGUAUUCCCGCGUGGACUGAAACCGAAAGGGUGCGGUCAGAAAAGAGGGAUAUGAAACGAACCAACUGCGUCUGAGCAUGAUCGUUUGUCACUUUGGAUAUGACAUGGAAUAAUCCCGGCAGGGACAAGUGAAACGUUCAUUUGGUUCAAAGAAGGCAGAAAGUACGGAGAGUCUAGGGACUAUGGGGUGUAACCGAGUUGGAACUCGAUGAGGAUCUCGGUGUUCACUAUGGCCAUUAGGAUAGUUUUCCUUUUGUGCGCCACAUUUACCUCUUUUUCAGGAAUUGCUUCUUUGUCCUUGCCUACAGUUACGAGCCACCUUUUUCAAUCAAUAAAAUGCAUAUUCAGUCAAAUAAUUUUGUUUUUGUUUUCAUUACCGCUUUGAUUGCAAAAACAUUCGUUUAUUUUGAUAAAGAAUCUUUGCAUUUUGAUACAUGGAGAUCCCUUCCAAUGCUUGUUUAUAAGAUUGAAAGCUUGAAAUAUUAUUCGGAAGUUUGAGUGACCCAAGUGUUGAAACUGUGGCACGCCUGGGGCACGUUUUUUAUCUAACGAUCUCUUUUGCAGGUGCUGUUAGAUAUUUUCACUCACUUGCAGGUUGUGAUGUGAAGUUUUGACAAAAGAUCCCCGUGGAGUCCAAUCAGGGACAAGGGACUGAAGAACGGUGAAAAGACGACGGCAAAAUGUACGACGAUCCAGAGAGUUUGGGUGAAUCCAGAGAGUUUGGUCUCCGUGGGGUAUGGAGAAGGCGAGAAUACAAGGUGAUGAAUCAGAAAAGUCCAGACAAAUCUGGGAGCUCUCAAAAGUGGAAAGCUGACACUGGAUUUGGAUGUUGAAUACCAGGGUUCGAUGAGUCGACGGGUGUUCUGUGCCAUACUUUCCUUAUCUCUCCAAGCAGAGUUGGGAUUGUUACCUCCCCAGCAGAUUCAAGGUCUGUGUGUCCCCAGCAGAUUCAAUGUCUGUGUCUUCCCUAGCAGGGUUGGAGAUUAUUAUUUCCCCAGCGGAGGUGUCCGUUGCUAGUUUUUCCCCCAGCUAGUCAAAGGUUGUUGUUUUCCCCACAGAGUGUGUUGGCGGUUUCUUCCCCAGUGAAGCCCCCAGGUGGAUCGGGUUCGGUGGAGGUCAUCCCUGGUGAGGGUGGUCUUUUCCCCAGCAGCAGUGUUAUUCCCCAGCAGGAUGGAGAUUGGAGUGUGGACAAGUUCCUUAGCAGAGUGCCUCGAGCUCCCCAGAAGAGUCCCUUGAGGGGGAUACCUUUUAUGCAUUCAUCAUAUAGAUAAGCAUAGCAUGUUGCAUACUUAAUGGUGUAGCAUUUCCAUGAUUAUGGAGCAUUACGCUAAAAAAAAUCGUCAUGCAUCGGCAUUGCACGCAUAAGCUAGUCUCAAGCCGUGGUUACCGUUUGAGAGGUGGUUUAGCCGGUUGACGAAGAUGUUACUCUGAGGAAUUUGGCAUCGUGAUUUUGAAUCAACAGUAUUCCCUAGUAGUACGAUGUUGGAGGAAGAGUUUCUGUCGGGCGGAGAUGGAAAUAAUAAAAAAAUCAAGAGAAGUUUUGGGGUUCAAGAACAAAAAAAAAAAGAAAAAAAAAAGAAAGAGAAUAAUCCCCAACUGAGCGUAAAUUGUUCGUUUGCUAGGGUUGAAUAGAGGAUAGCAUGCUCAUGGUUUGUUAUCCCCAGCAUGGGUCGUUGGCAUGCGUGCCGCCUCAUUUAUCACUGUCCUUUAUUUCUGCCGAUGUGACAGGUAUGACAAGUUUUUCGGGUAUUCAGACCGAUAUGGCGUUCAGGCCAGGUUUCCGGUAAUCAGGCCGAGGUGGGUAUUCAGACCAGAUUUUUCGAAGUUCAGAUCGAUGCAGCUUGUGACAUUCAGGCCAAGUUUCCGGUGUUCAGGCCGAGGUGGGUAUUCAGACCGAUGUGGCGUUCAGGCCAGUUUUCGGGUAUUCAGACCGAUGCGGCAUUCAGGCCAAGUUUCCGGUGUUCAGGCCGAGGUGGGUAUUCAGACCAGAUUUUCCGAUUUUCAGAUCGAAGAAGCUUCUGAAGUUCAGAUUGAUGCAGCUUGCGGCAUUCAGGCCAAGUUUCCGGUGUUCAGGCCGAGGUGGGUAUUCAGACAAGUUUUUGAUUUUCAGAUCGAAGAAGUUUCUGACGAUCAGGUCGAAGUACUUGUGGCAUUCAGGCCAGCUUUCCGGUAUUCAGACCGAAGCGUCAUUCAGGCCAAUCUCUCGAUGUUCAGACCGACAUUAAUAAUCUCAUAUUCCGAUGCUCAGUAUUCAGACUGAUGAGCGGCGUUCAGGCCAUGGUGGUUCCUGUGUUACCAUUUAUUUUGGUAUCCAGGUCAAUAUUCCUUUUCGGUAUUCAGGCCGACUUUCACCGUGCCAGACGGAUUUUUCUUUCAAGAUUACUUCUUUGCCGAUUCUGACAGGCACUAUUAAUUAUUUUCCCAGCGGAGUGCAAAUUGUUCGUCUGUUCUUGGUAUUCAAUCACUCUUCACCCUGAUCAUCUGAAAGCCGAGGCUAUUCAUAUCGACAGGUUCACAGUGGAUUGAAUAGGGGCAGCUGUAACACCUCAAAAUUUGCCCUCCUCUCCUUGGGACUAGCUUAGCAUAUUGCAUUUCAUUUUGUAGGACAUUAGGCAUUGCAUAUUGCAUAUCAUUUGAAAUAAGACAAGUCAUCCUCCUAAGUCUUUCUCAGAAGAUAGAGAGGUUAAGAGAUUCAUGCCUGAGGGUCUCAUGGAUUGAUCACUAGCCAUCUGAGGGUUUGUGCUUCAAUUAGGGUUUCUUGGUNNNNNNNNNNNNNNNNNNNNNNNNNNNNNNNNNNNNNNNNNNNNNNNNNNNNNNNNNNNNNNNNNNNNNNNNNNNNNNNNNNNNNNNNNNNNNNNNNNNNNNNNNNNNNNNNNNNNNNNNNNNNNNNNNNNNNNNNNNNNNNNNNNNNNNNNNNNNNNNNNNNNNNNNNNNNNNNNNNNNNNNNNNNNNNNNNNNNNNNNNNNNNNNNNNNNNNNNNNNNNNNNNNNNNNNNNNNNNNNNNNNNNNNNNNNNNNNNNNNNNNNNNNNNNNNNNNNNNNNNNNNNNNNNNNNNNNNNNNNNNNNNNNNNNNNNNNNNNNNNNNNNNNNNNNNNNNNNNNNNNNNNNNNNNNNNNNNNNNNNNNNNNNNNNNNNNNNNNNNNNNNNNNNNNNNNNNNNNNNNNNNNNNNNNNNNNNNNNNNNNNNNNNNNNNNNNNNNNNNNNNNNNNNNNNNNNNNNNNNNNNNNNNNNNNNNNNNNNNNNNNNNNNNNNNNNNNNNNNNNNNNNNNNNNNNNNNNNNNNNNNNNNNNNNNNNNNNNNNNNNNNNNNNNNNNNNNNNNNNNNNNNNNNNNNNNNNNNNNNNNNNNNNNNNNNNNNNNNNNNNNNNNNNNNNNNNNNNNNNNNNNNNNNNNNNNNNNNNNNNNNNNNNNNNNNNNNNNNNNNNNNNNNNNNNNNNNNNNNNNNNNNNNNNNNNNNNNNNNNNNNNNNNNNNNNNNNNNNNNNNNNNNNNNNNNNNNNNNNNNNNNNNNNNNNNNNNNNNNNNNNNNNNNNNNNNNNNNNNNNNNNNNNNNNNNNNNNNNNNNNNNNNNNNNNNNNNNNNNNNNNNNNNNNNNNNNNNNNNNNNNNNNNNNNNNNNNNNNNNNNNNNNNNNNNNNNNNNNNNNNNNNNNNNNNNNNNNNNNNNNNNNNNNNNNNNNNNNNNNNNNNNNNNNNNNNNNNNNNNNNNNNNNNNNNNNNNNNNNNNNNNNNNNNNNNNNNNNNNNNNNNNNNNNNNNNNNNNNNNNNNNNNNNNNNNNNNNNNNNNNNNNNNNNNNNNNNNNNNNNNNNNNNNNNNNNNNNNNNNNNNNNNNNNNNNNNNNNNNNNNNNNNNNNNNNNNNNNNNNNNNNNNNNNNNNNNNNUUUCAAGAUCUAAAUUCUUCUUCCCUCCAAAAUUUCUCUUCAUCCAAAUUCAAAUUUCUUCCACAUAAGCCUUUGAUUUUCUUCCAUAUUCUUGUUCUCUGGUACUGAUUUAGUGUAGAUCAAGCAUUGGAUCGUCAAAUUUGGACAAGAUUUGUGUGGUGCAAGUUCAAGAACACAAGUAUGGAAGUUCAGAUUUGAGCAAGAUCUAAGCUACUACAAGCUCCAAUUACUGCAUAAAGCUUCAAGACAUCAUCUCAAGAGUAGAUCUGCAGCUUGCAAGGCCUUGAAUCCAUAGAUUUCAGCAACUGCUCUUCAAGAGGUAGGUUUUUCGAUCCUCUUAAUUGUUGAUUUUAUGUGCAUGAUCUUGUAGUUCUUCUCUUGCUGAUCAAUCUGAUAUAAAUUUCGUGGAAUUUGGUUGAGAAAUGGCUGAGAUAUGUUGAAUUAAAGUUUGAUGUUCAUAAAUGUUUUUGAUCGAUUCUCAUGAUUGGUGAUGAAUUAGGUUUAGUUAUUGAUUGAUCUGUAAUGUACGUAGCAUGAGCUUUCUAAUAAUGUACAAUUUGCCUGUUUCUGGAUUUUUUUUUGAAGCACGUACACUGUAGCUCCGCUGUCUUCGCGAAGAAGACGGUGGAAACCACCGCGUACCAUACGCGCAACAUACGCGUACGAGCACCUUACGCGUACCGCAUGCUAGGGUUUGUCUGGUUCAGCGCGCGUACACGCUUCGAUUCUGGCUGAGGACACUUUUUCAAAUUAAUUUCCAUUUCUUCAUUUCCCUCCAAUUUCUUCAUAUAUUUUGUCAUAUUUUCUUCCAAAUUUUGAAAAAUCAUAACUAUUUGAAAAAUGAUUCAAAUGAAUCCAUUGUUUUUGCUAAUUGUUCACAUGAAUGUCCUCUAUUUUUUGGUUUUGAUUUUAUGAUUUUACACUUUCUGGUUUUUGAAUGGUGACUGUUUGACUGAACAUGUAUGCUUUUGUGACCUUGCCUUACUCUUUCUAUCAUGAAAUGCUCAAAAAUAAUCCAAUGGAUAUGAAAUUUUGCAUGAUGAUUCUUGACAUUUUGGUGGAUGUUUUAGGCUUGGUUUGGUAUUUUUAUCAUUUACCAUUUCUGUUUUACGCACAUGUUUGUGAGGUGUGACAAUUUGUGUCGCACAUUUGGUUGAUCAACUUCUGCAAUUUAAUUUCCAUAUCAAAUGACCUCUAAUGCUUCUGAUUUUUUGUAUGAUGAUCAUGUUGGAUGUGUUGGAUGCUCAUGAUUUUUUCCAGAAUUAUUUGAAUCAUUUCUGUUUUGAUUUGGAAUCAUCAUAUUGAUUUUAUUGAGCUUGUAUAAGCUAGGGUUUCAUUUUGGAGCCAUUUCAUCAAGUGGUUGAGGCUCAAAGUCAUCUGAGCAUGUUCAAGUCAUCUGUCAACCAGAAAGUCAACAGAAUGUCAACUGAGGACUAGGAGGUGGAGAAAUGAGUUUCAACAUCUCAUUCAUGUUCAAAAGGGGCUUAUUAAUCAUGUCAAAUGCAUAUCUUGAAGAAUUUGAUGUCAGAUCAAGAGUUUCCAAAAAUGGAAAGUGACCUAUAUUUGAAAGUUUCCAAAAAUGGAAAGUUUUUGGUCCAAAUGUAACUUGAUCUUGCAUCAUCAAAGAAGCUUCAAAUGAAAUUUUGUCCAACAUGAAAGCUUAAGAUCUCUCUCUCCCAUUUCCAAAAAGUCCAAGAUCAUGAACAUCUGAUGAAUGGUUGAGGAGAUAUGGUCAAAUCAUUGCCAAGUGUACAUGGAACUUCAAAGUGCCAUAACUUUUGACUCAUAAUUCCAAAUUGAGUGCUCCUUUUUGCCAAAUUCUUGUCAUGACAUAUAUUUUCCAAAUCAUUCAUGGCAUUGCAUGAAAUUUCAUCGUGUGAUCAUGUGCUAAUUCAAGUGCAUUUUGGAGGGAAAUUGAGAAAUUCAAAUUUGGUGCAUCACAUGAGUAAAAUUCCACUUGCAUUAUGUUUAUGAGUUGGUUUUAAGUGAAUGUGAGCAUUUGCAUGCUACUAUUCACGUGGUGCAUGGCCAUGAUACAUCAUUUUUCAUUUUUUGCAUUUUCAUUCCAAUUAUCACUAAUCCUAAUUAACCAUUACAAAUUAGGAUUAGCAUGGUAAUUAACAUGGCAUAUAAAUAGUAAAUUAUAACAGAAUUUUGGGGAUAUUCACCAUUUUCAAGAUCUAAAUUCUUCUUCCCUCCAAAAUUUCUCUUCAUCCAAAUUCAAAUUUCUUCCACAUAAGCCUUUGAUUUUCUUCCAUAUUCUUGUUCUCUGGUACUGAUUUAGUGUAGAUCAAGCAUUGGAUCGUCAAAUUUGGACAAGAUUUGUGUGGUGCAAGUUCAAGAACACAAGUAUGGAAGUUCAGAUUUGAGCAAGAUCUAAGCUACUACAAGCUCCAAUUACUGCAUAAAGCUUCAAGACAUCAUCUCAAGAGUAGAUCUGCAGCUUGCAAGGCCUUGAAUCCAUAGAUUUCAGCAACUGCUCUUCAAGAGGUAGGUUUUUCGAUCCUCUUAAUUGUUGAUUUUAUAUGCAUGAUCUUGUAGUUCUUCUCUUGCUGAUCAAUCUGAUAUAAAUUUCGUGGAAUUUGGUUGAGAAAUGGCUGAGAUAUGUUGAAUUAAAGUUUGAUGUUCAUAAAUGUUUUUGAUCGAUUCUCAUGAUUGGUGAUGAAUUAGGUUUAGUUAUUGAUUGAUCUGUAAUGUACGUAGCAUGAGCUUUCUAAUAAUGUACAAUUUGCCUGUUUCUGGAUUUUUUUUUGAAGCACGUACACUGUAGCUCCGCUGUCUUCGCGAAGAAGACGGUGGAAACCACCGCGUACCAUACGCGCAACAUACGCGUACGAGCACCUUACGCGUACCGCAUGCUAGGGUUUGUCUGGUUCAGCGCGCGUACACGCUUCGAUUCUGGCUGAGGACACUUUUUCAAAUUAAUUUCCAUUUCUUCAUUUCCCUCCAAUUUCUUCAUAUAUUUUGUCAUAUUUUCUUCCAAAUUUUGAAAAAUCAUAACUAUUUGAAAAAUGAUUCAAAUGAAUCCAUUGUUUUUGCUAAUUGUUCACAUGAAUGUCCUCUAUUUUUUGGUUUUGAUUUUAUGAUUUUACACUUUCUGGUUUUUGAAUGGUGACUGUUUGACUGAACAUGUAUGCUUUUGUGACCUUGCCUUACUCUUUCUAUCAUGAAAUGCUCAAAAAUAAUCCAAUGGAUAUGAAAUUUUGCAUGAUGAUUCUUGACAUUUUGGUGGAUGUUUUAGGCUUGGUUUGGUAUUUUUAUCAUUUACCAUUUCUGUUUUACGCACAUGUUUGUGAGGUGUGACAAUUUGUGUCGCACAUUUGGUUGAUCAACUUCUGCAAUUUAAUUUCCAUAUCAAAUGACCUCUAAUGCUUCUGAUUUUUUGUAUGAUGAUCAUGUUGGAUGUGUUGGAUGCUCAUGAUUUUUUCCAGAAUUAUUUGAAUCAUUUCUGUUUUGAUUUGGAAUUUUCAUUCUCAAUGUCCAUUUGUGAGCCUUGAAAUUGUCUUUGACUUCCCUUGCUUAUUACAUGGACUUGCUUGAUGAUUUUGACUUGGUCCCUUUUAGGACAUGUUAAUGUGUAUUUGAAGUUGCAUUGUGCUGAAUUUAAGCUCCUGUUUUGAAUUUUUUCCUCACCUUUGACCCUAGGCCUUGACCUAGGGGUUUGGACUUACAUUUGAGUUGUGAAUUUCAAGUUCAAGUAUGCAUCUCCAUGAUUGAUGUUGCUCCUUCAUUUGAGCUUGGUCAUUUGUUAUUGUUGGCUAACAUUUGUUUGUUUUGUAGGCUUUGAUGAUAAUUCACUUGAGUGUUUGCCUUGUGGCUUACUCAUUGUGCAUAUUGGAUUGUCUGUUUGUGGAUUGACUGUUGUCUGAUUGUCUGAAUACUGUACUGAUUUGUUUAGUUGUUUACACAGGUACCUAAGGUGCUUUAAGUUCAUUUGAACUGUGCUUUGCUUUGCUUGUGGUUGGCAUACCACUUAGGUAUAAUUCCUUGAUCUUCAUGUAGUCUGGAAGACCUGUCAUGUUAUGUUGGCAGGCACCUGUCUGAAGCCCUCCUUAAGAGGCAAUGUUUGUGGUUGUUUACUUUUGUGCCUUGUACAUUCAAAGACCUCCUAAGUGAAGAGGCAUUGGCAGAUAAAAGGGAUGUGCAAUCCAUCCCCUUCUAUUCAGUUGUGUCUUUCAUCUUGCUCACACCAUGUGUUGAUGCACUUUGAAUAAAAACCCAAAAUCUUGUUGUGUCAAUCAUGUGGAAUAGAGUCCCGCAUUCUGGACUCCCACACCUUCAUUGAUUCAAGCUCUCCCAGGCCAGGGAUAAGAGCUAUGAGGUCUGAUCCUCAUUUCCCACGUCAUUUGCUUCACCCUAACUCUCAAUGUUAGGGUUAAGAGCAAACAACACCCCUUUCUAGUUGGCUUGUUUGUCGAGGUUGAUUUGACCCCUUGACUAAAGCCCAGCCAUGUUGUGUGAGCCUUCUUGUUUGCAUAUAGUGUGUGAUACAUGUUCACCCGUUUGCUUACUUGUUGUGUUGUUGACUUGCUGCCUGUGCGAGUUAGGAUUUGUUAGAAACCUCAACCUAGGACUAUUGUGGAUUGCAUGACAACUUUUAGGCUCGAGUCAGUCUCCCCAUUAGUUUGUUAUUUCCCGGUCUCUAGUUUAGGAGAAAGUUUCUCCCCUGUUAAGGGGAACUACGUUGCCCUGAUCCUCAUACCAGAUGAGGUACGUAGGCAGGAGAUCGUGCGAGAUCUCUUCGGGCACCCUUUUUGUUUUUCAACCUUUUCUUUUUGUGUGUGUUUGCUUGACAGUUAUUAGGCUCGAGUUCCAGACUCCCUGUUAGCUUGUCUGUUUGUUAAUCUCUUGUGUGUGAGUGUGGAGUCCGAUGUAAGUCCAGUGAUUGGCAUUCGGUUUCCCGUUUGUUUGUUGUGUGCUUGGAGUCUGAUGUAAGUCCAGCAAUUGGCAUUCGGUUUUCUUGUUUGGGUUGUGUGCUUGGAGUCUGAUGUAAGUCUAGCGAUUGGCAUUCGGUUUCCUUGUUUGUGUUUGUGUGUUCAGAGUUGGACGUAAGACCAGCCAUUGGCAGUCUGUUUCCGUUUGUGUGUUUACUUUGACGUCUCAGCGUCUUUGUGUUGUGUUUUGUUUCGGCGUGCGUUAGCCGAACUACGGUAGCUCUGAUUCUCAUUCCAGAUGAGAUACGUAGGCAUAUGAUGUGAUAUCCUAGCGAGCCCGUUCCCCAUUUCCCCGAACUACGUUGACUCUGAUGUUUGUUUCUGACAAACUACGUAGGCCCAUGAUGCGACAUCCUGCCGAGUCCGCUUCCUCCGUCUUCUUCCAUCUAUGUUUGAUUCUAGUGUGUGUGCAUUCUUUGAGCAGUUAUUUAGCAACCUUAUUCUAUUCUAUUGAGCGUGGAUCCCGUCGAGUACGACGGACGUGAGGGGUGCUAAUACCUUCCCCUUGCGUAACCGACUCCCGUACCUUGUAAUCUCCGGUCAUAAGACCAUUUCCUUUCCAGGUUUACUUCGAGCAUUUCCUUUCCCUCCUUUGGGGUAAAUAACGCACGGUGGCGGCUCUGUUUGUUUUUUUCCCGCCGGUUGUUUUUCGCGAAUGCGACAUCGUGGUUCCGAAUUACGAUUUCUCUGACUUUCUCAUUGCAUAAUUAGAAUACGUAGGCACGAGGAUGUGAAUCCUUUGUGAGCGCACUACUAAUUAUUCCUUCGUCCGCCUUAGGGCAUCGUUCACAUCUUUCAUUAUCCAUUACCUACCUUAGAUCACAAAUCGUUCACCCAGUGACAUACUGUUCCUUUAACAUCGAAAUACACUUUCCUUGGAAGUCCAUACAUAUCCUUUUAGGACACCUAAUGUAGUUAGUCUUUCUAGCUAGAGUUGUUUGGGCUACAACCUCAAACAUCUAAUUCCUUCCUUUUUUGGCUAAACACCCUAUAGUGGCGGCCUGUUGGUCCACGUAUCGGUUGAAGCUAUUUCCCUCUAUGGUAUUAAUUUCAUUUCUCCUAUGGAUUCCAAUACGAUUUCACCUUUCGAUUUCAAACAAUACUUCUUCAGUCACUUAUCACCAGAUACCCAAUUUUGUGACCUAGGUCACUUCGCUCCGUUCAUCCCAUGAUGCAUUCAUAUACUACCUUCCUUCACUCCAUGUGAUAUACCUGUUAACUUUUAGCCAAAUACUCUAUAACUUUGUGCUCCUUCUUGCGUCACCUUGUGAACCAAGAGAUGUUUGGGCUACAACCUCAAACAAUUAAUUCCUUCCUUUUCAGCUUUACCAUAUAUUGGUGGCCUACUAGUCCACGUAUUAGUGAUAUCCACCUUACUCUUGGGUUCAUCUUUUCACCCUUUUUGGAGCUCAAAACACUAUUCUUUGGUUCAUACCAUAUUCCUAUCACACUCAUUUCCACCCCCUGCCUCUAGUUCCUUGAACUACGAAGCUCUAAAUUCCUCAUUGCACUACGAGGAUACGUAGGCAUGAGAGCCCACCAAUCCUCACUGAUCACUUUAUCUAUUUUCUUUUCUUUCCCCAUUAUUUUGCGAGUAAUCUUUAGUUAUCACACCUAUUCUAACGAGAACAAUCAAAACGGUUCCCAUGGGGUACCAUGGAUGUUUGGGGUGCUAAUACCUUCCUCUUGCAUAACUGACUUCCUUACCCAACAUAUCUCUUUCCCCUUGGUUUUAUCGAUGUUUUCCCUUCCCAUUGGGGAUAAAUAAAGUUCGAUGGCGACUCUGUUGUAUGUCCGAGCUUAUGUUCGGGUAUAUUUCCGCUAGCUUCAGACUAAGAUACCCCCUCACUUCUCACUAAAAUGGUACUGUAGAGAGAAAACAUAGAAACAUAGUGGAAACGGGCUUAACUCUCCUAACUCAUGCUAACCUUCCUAUGGAAUAUUGGGGUCAUAGCUUUACUGCAGUUGUUCAUCUCAUUAAUAGAUUACCUACACCCACCUUGCCUAAGUUCACAUCUUCUUUUCAUGCCCUUUUUAAUCACACACCUGAUUAUAUAACACUUAGAAAUUUUGGAUGCUCUUGUUUUCCUCAUUUAAGACCCUACAAUAACAACAAAAAAACUCUAAUUAAGAAGCUCUAAGUGUGUGUAUCUUGGCAUAUCUCCACAACAUAAAGGGUAUAAGUUUCUUAGUAAAGAAGACCAACUUUACAUCUCAAAAGAUGUAAAUUUUUAUGAGACAAAGUUUCCUUGUCUUAGCAUGAUCCAUCCAUUAAUCCGACUAGUACACCAUGCCCUUCUAAAUCAAUUCCCCUUUCCAUUACAAUGACUCCUAGGUCUGCUCAACAUGUUAUUCCCAGCAAUGACAACACACUUCCCAAUGAGAGUAGUUCUGCAUAACCUACAAUGCCUAACUCUGCUCAUGUACCAACUGUUGGACUAGUCCACAUCAAUCCUGUCAGUCCAGUUAUUACACAUCAUACCCCUCUUAUGAUUGUGCAACAUGUGGUAGCCUCUUCUAAUAUCCAUAAUCACUCCCUAUCUAUCAAUAACUCUAUAGACAGUGGACUUGAACAUACUUCUUAUUCUCCCACUCACACAUCACAAAAUAACCAAAACGUGUCUCUCAGAAAUGAGUCUUCUCAAAUUAUCAUACUAACUCAAGAACUAGGUUGUUCCUCAUCUCUCCCCUCUCAUGAUACGUAUCCUAUAUCAUCUUUGGUUGCUAACAAACAUGCCAUGCUUACUAGAGGUAAGAUAGGGCAUCUCAAACCUAAAAACUUGUUGGCUCAUUGUGAACAAACAACCUUCAAAUAGGCCAUAGCUCAACCAAAAUGGCUUGAAGCUAUGUAACAAGAAUAUAAUGCUCUUGUAUCCAAUACUACAUGGACACUUACCACCCUCCCUUCCCACAGGAAAUUCGUAGGCUUUAAAUGGGUAUUCAAGCUAAAGGAAAACUAUGAUGGUACCUUGGAAAAAUAUAGAGCAAGGCUUAUGGCUAAAGGCUUCAACCAAAAAUAUGGAUUUGAAUUCCAUGAAACCUUUUCACUUGUAGUUAAGCCAACCACAAUCAAGGUCAUUAUCACCUUGGCUCUAACCUAUCAGUGGGAAGUUCAGUAGAUAUAUAUAUAUAUAUAUAUANNNNNNNNNNNNNNNNNNNNNNNNNNNNNNNNNNNNNNNNNNNNNNNNNNNNNNNNNNNNNNNNNNNNNNNNNNNNNNNNNNNNNNNNNNNNNNNNNNNNNNNNNNNNNNNNNNNNNNNNNNNNNNNNNNNNNNNNNNNNNNNNNNNNNNNNNNNNNNNNNNNNNNNNNNNNNNNNNNNNNNNNNNNNNNNNNNNNNNNNNNNNNNNNNNNNNNNNNNNNNNNNNNNNNNNNNNNNNNNNNNNNNNNNNNNNUAUAUAUAUAUAUAUAUAUAUAUAUAUAUAUAUAUAUAUAUAUAUAUAUAUAUAUAUAUAUAUAUAUAUAUAUAUAUAUAUAUAUAUAUAUAUAUAUAUAUAUAUAUAUAUAUAUAAACAAUUAUUUUGUCUGUGGAUCUCUCCAUGAAGAAGUGUACAUGCAACAACCACCAGGUUUUGAACAUGAAAAGAAAUCCCUUGUCUGCAAACUGAACAGAGUUUUGUAUGACCUUAAGCAGACGCCUAGGUCCUGGUAUGAAAAAUUGCAUCAAACAUUGUUCCACUUUGGUUUUGUAGCUAGCCGAUGUGAUCACUCUUUAUUCACAUAAAAUCACCAAGGUAUUACACUUUAUGUUCUUUUAUAUGUAUAUGACAUUCUCAUUACAGGUGCUUCCUUUCUUCUUAUUCACAAGUUAAUUACUCAACUUCAUGAUCAAUUUGCUUUGAAGAAACUUGGGAAACUUGAGUAUUUUUUUAGUCUGGAAGUUAAGUAUCAAUCAAAUGGUUCUCUUAUACUGACUCAAACCAAAUACAACAAAGAUUUAUUAUCUUAAGUCAACAUGGAAGAUGAAAAUGAAGUUCCUUCUCUUAUGCGAGUCAGUCAAAAACAUAGUAGGUUUGGAACUAAUUUUAUGGAGGAUCAUCUUUUGUACAUAUCUAUUGUAGAUACCUUACAAUACAUCACUCUCACAAGACCAGACAUUUCCUAUUGUGUAAAUGAGGCAUGUCAGUUUAUGGCAAAUCCCCUUGAUAGUCAUUGAAGUAUGGUCAAAAGGAUACUUAGGUACUUAAGUGACACCUCUACACUUGACUUAUUACUUUCUCCUGGAAAUCCUAACCAAGCUCUCUCCCUAAGGGCAUAUAAUGACUCUGAUUGGGAAAAUGAUCCAGAUGAUAUAAGAUCUACAUCUGCACUUGUAUAUUCAUUGACCCCAAUUUGAUUUUCUAGAGCUCUAAGAAACAAACCUUGGUUGCAAGGUCCAGUGCAGAAGCAGAAUAUAAGGUCUUGGCACAUACAACUUUUGAAUUACUUUGGUUGGAAUCCUUGCUUGCUGAACUAAGAAUCGAGUAUUUCUCUCAUACUCUUCUCUGUGACAAUCUGAGUGUUGUGUUAUUGUUUCAUAAUCCAAUAUAACAUGCUAGAACUAAGCAUGUUGAGUUGGAUAUCUAUUUUGUUAGAGAAAGAGUUAUGGCUAAUAAACCCAAAAUUUAACAUGUUCCUGCCUCAACUCAACUAGCCGACAUUAUGACAAAGCCUCUAUCAAGUGCAACUUUUCAAGACUUAAGGAGCAAGCUAAAAGUGGUCUUGCUUCCACCACAUUGAUCUUGUGGGGGAGUAUUAGAGCUAUAUUUCUAAGUUUGACUUAGGUCAACUCUUUUGGUUGUAUUUAGAGUUAGUUGUAGCUGUUAGGAAGUUAUGAGUUGUUAGUUUUCUGUUACACAACUCUACUCUUUGUAUUAACCCUAUAUAAGGAAUUGAUUGUUGUAA
rnacentral:lncRNA from 1 species